UUUCCUCCGAUCAUCCUGAACCUCUCGCCUGCUCCCCCCUCACAGUGUUUUCAUUCUAACUUGUUUUCGUCUAUUUUUGACACUUCAUUGAAAAAAAGAAAAGCAAUCCACAUGCCUGUGAGCGGUAUCAAUUGACCUUUUAUCCCAGAACCUUUUUCUGCGUUUUGUUGCUCUUACAACAAAGUCUUUCUUUCAUUUCGUUACUUUGGAGGGAAUGUUUUCACCGACAAGCGGACGAAAUAUCAGGAAAAGUGACUGAGUGGAAUAUGGACGGGAAAGACUCCCAGGGAGGAGAGACUCCGCCUGCAGCGACCGCUUCACUCCGCAUGGGCCAGCAUCCCUCUCUGGAUCACCUUUACCACGGUCCCAGACUUGUCUGUUCACGUCUUCCUCCUUCUCCACCCUGUCACCUGUCGGACCAGACUUGCCCCUAAAAUGCUUUGCUAAAGCUGGUAAAAUGGAACCAAAUCAACUGUUCAAUGGAUUUGGUCCCCUUCAACCAGCUGUAGCUGUGCAUUGAUCACUCACGCAUGCAGAGGGACAAACGAACGGACAGAGAAGCAGUGGAACUCUAAUUCAAAUCAAAUCAAAUUUUAUUUGUAUAGCCCAAAGUCACAUAACGCAUUUUGCCUCUGAGGGCUUUACAA